GUAAUAGGUGGACGUGAGGCUGAGGCGAGGUCAAAGCAAACUGUUUUCAGUGGCACAGAGUAACAGUGUUGUCAGGACUGAAGCAGAAUCAGAGUCAAAAAACAAGCACAGUUCAAAAAAAGCACAGUGAGGUACAAUACAAUGAUUGAA